rnacentral:rRNA from 1 species
GACGAACGCUGGCGGCGUGCCUAAUACAUGCAAGUCGAGCGCUGAAGGUUGGUUCUUGUUCCAACUGGAUGAGCAGCGAACGGGUGAGUAAUGCGUGGGGAAUCAGUCUUGGAGCGGGAGAUAACGAUAGGAAACGAAUGCUAAUACAGCAUAAAAACGUUAAACACAAGUAAUAAGUAUGAAAGAUGCAAUUGCAUCACUCAAAGAUGAUCCCGAUUUGUAUUAGCUAGUUGGUGAGGAAAAGGCUCACCAAGGCGGUGAUACAUAGCCGACCUGAGAGGGUGAUCGGCCACCAUCGGACCGAGACACGGCCCCAACUCCUACGGGACGCACCAAGAGGGAAUCUUCGGCUAUUGGCGGAAGUCUGACCGAGCAACGCCCCGGUGGUGAACGACGGUUUCAGAUCUUAAAACUCUGUUGGUAAAGAAGAAACUUGGUGCGAUUGGAACGCUCAUCAAGUGACGGUAACGGCCGAGAAAGGAACGGCUAACUACGUG